rnacentral:rRNA from 1 species
GAUGAACGCUGGCGGCGUGCCUAAUACAUGCAAGUCGAGCGAACGGACGAGAAGCUUGCUUUUCUGAUGUUUGCGGCGGACGGGUGAGUAACACGUGGAUAACCUACCUAUAAGACUGGGAUAACUUCGGGAAACCGGAGCUAAUACCGGAUAAUAUUUUGAACCGCAUGGUUCAAAAGUGAAAGACGGUCUUUCUGUCACUUAUAGAUGGAUCCGCGCUGCAUUAGCUAGUUGGUAAGGUAACGGCUUACCAAGGCAACGAUGCAUAGCCGACCUGAGAGGGUGAUCGGCCACACUGGAACUGAGACACGGUCCAGACUCCUACGGGAGGCAGCCGUAGGGAAUCUUCCGCAAUGGGCGAAAGCCUGACGGAGCAACGCCGCGUGAGUGAUGAAGGUCUUCGGAUCGUAAAACUCUGUUAUUAGGGAAGAACAUAUGUGUAAGUAACUGUGCACAUCUUGACGGUACCUAAUCAGAAAGCCACGGCUAACUACGUG